AUGACCUUCCAAGUUUUAUAAAAGAAGUUGAUGAAAUUAUUUGCGAUUAUUUUUAAAUCGAACAAUUCACCAGUACAGAUAGUAUUGGGUUUUAAUGGAGAAUGUGGUGCCCGCGCAGAAACUUUUGAUCUUGUUACAUCUUUUAUAUUAUAAAAGAUUGUUUUUUCAAUGGGACACUUUAUUUAGAACAUUCUGAUUCUU